rnacentral:rRNA from 1 species
GGAUGCGAUCAUAGCAGCAAUAAAGCACCGGAUCCCAUCAGAACUCCGAAGUUAAGCGUGCUUGGGUGAGAGUAGUACUAGGAUGGGUGACCUCGUGUUGCAUUCC